ACGAACGCUGGCGGCAUGCCUAAUACAUGCAAGUCGAGCGAAUGAUGAAGAAGCUUGCUUCUUCUGAUUAGCGGCGGACGGGUGAGUAACACGUGGGCAACCUACCCUAUAGAUUGGGAUAACACAGGGAAACCUGUGCUAAUACCGAAUAAUACAUUUUCUUUCAUGAGAAGAUGUUGAAAGAUGGUUUCGGCUAUCACUAUAGGAUGGGCCCGCGGCGCAUUAGCUAGUUGGUGAGGUAAUGGCUCACCAAGGCAACGAUGCGUAGCCGACCUGAGAGGGUGAUCGGCCACACUGGGACUGAGACACGGCCCAGACUCCUACGGGAGGCAGCAGUAGGGAAUCUUCCACAAUGGGCGAAAGCCUGAUGGAGCAAUGCCGCGUGAGUGAUGAAGGAUUUCGGUUCGUAAAACUCUGUUGUAAGGGAAGAACAAGUAGCGUAGUAACUGGCGUUACCUUGACGGUACCUUAUUAGAAAGCCACGGCUAACUACGUGCCAGCAGCGGC
rnacentral:rRNA from 1 species